rnacentral:rRNA from 1 species
AUUGAACGCUGGCGGCAUGCUUUACACAUGCAAGUCGAACGGCAGCGCGGGCUUCGGCCUGGCGGCGAGUGGCGAACGGGUGAGUAAUGCAUCGGAACGUGCCCAGUAGUGGGGGAUGGCCCGGCGAAAGCCGGAUUAAUACCGCAUACGACCUGAGGGUGAAAGCGGGGGACCGAAAGGCCUCGCGCUAUUGGAGCGGCCGAUGUCGGAUUAGCUAGUUGGUGGGGUAAAGGCUUACCAAGGCGACGAUCCGUAGCUGGUCUGAGAAGACGACCAGCCACACUGGGACUGAGACACGGCCCAGACUCCUACGGGAGGCAGCAGUGGGGAAUUUUGGACAAUGGGGGCAACCCUGAUCCAGCCAUGCCGCGUGCGGGAAGAAGGCCUUCGGGUUGUAAACCGCUUUUGUUCGGGAAGAAAUCCUCUGGGCUAAUACCCCGGGGGGAUGACGGUACCGGAAGAAUAAGCACCGGCUAACUACGUG